ensembl:lncRNA
AGCUGAACUUUGCAGGACAGUCGAUCGCCAGGAGCAGGGUUGGGCACCCCUGGUCUAUGUAAUCGCAGCUAGUGCUUCCCUUUCUCCAAGAAGGCCUGGAAAGGCACCUAUCUCUGACAGCAGCAAAUUAAAAAUCACACAGUGGAUGGAAGAUCAGCUGGAAAGCACAAUCUUAUUAUUCGAUUCCUGAGAAGUGCACGGAGAUUAAUCUUCCAAGACUUCACCUCAUCCCCUCUUGGGAUCUCUUAGUGGUCUUACAGACACUACAGAAAGAUCAUUUUGAGCCUUUAAAGGAAUUAGGACAUGUGUCUUUCCCCUAUGUUUGGGGACCUGCUGCAGCCUAACCCAGCUGAGACUUAAAUCUUGGGGAUCGCAAGUCAAGUUGGUGGAGGAAUUCAUAUGAGUGUCAUCUGAUCCAGGAGAUAGCAGUCUUCUGGUUGUGGAGGCCGAAGAAGUUAUGGAGGCCUCACAGCCUGCCUGACCACAUACAAUGAACUUCUGAAGCUUAUGGGUCAUGCUACAGACAGCCAGGGCCUUUCCACUGAUGCAGUGCCAGAGCUGUGCUGGAUUACGGUUGUUGUUCUCCGGUCCACUAAGCAAGCACCUGUCAUGAUUGGUCAAUCGAUGGUGGCUAUGGUGCCAACAGAGAGGCAUCUGUGGAUCAGCUUGGCUGACAUCGGGGGAAAAGAGAGGAUCCUCCUCUUCGAUGCAUCAGUUUCACCCUUUGAGCUUUUUGGCACAACCAGUGGUUGAGAAAUUCAGGGAGGUGAAGACACAGUCUGCAGGUUUCAAAAAGAUUUAUACCACAUUGAUCCAGACCUGCACCUCAAACCUCUCAAGGCCCAGUUCUGUCUAGGUCUGAGGACCAAAGCAGUGUGGUAGAGGGUGUCUAUUUUGAUGAUGAGAACAUGUAUAGGCAACACUGUAUGUUAUAUCCUCAAGCAAAUAUGUUGAUGAGAAAAUCUUAUGUGUUCAAAUAAUUAAAUUCAAGUUUUCAAUUCAAGUUUAUUUUUAUAGCGCUUUUUACGAUACAAAUCAUUGCAAAGCAACUUUACAGAAAAUUAAGUUUCUACAAUAUUUAGUAGUAGCUUAUCAGUGGUGACUGUCAGUUUAUGUGCAUACGGCAAAAAUGUUCAGAAAAAUCAAUAAAAGACGUAAACAAACAGAC